AGAGUGAACGCUGGCGGCAGGCCUAACACAUGCAAGUCGAACGGCAGCACAGCAGUAGCAAUACUGUGGGUGGCGAGUGGCGGACGGGUGAGGAAUACAUCGGGAUCUACCUUUUCGUGGGGGAUAACGUAGGGAAACUUACGCUAAUACCGCAUACGCCCUACGGGGGAAAGCGGCGGACCGCAAGGCGUCGCGCGAUGAGAUGAACCGAUGUCCGAUUAGCUAGUUGGCGGGUAAAGGCCCACCAAGGCGACGAUCGGUAGCUGAUCUGAGAGGAUGAUCAGCCACACUGGAACUGAGACACGGUCCAGACUCCUACGGGAGGCAGCAGUGGGGAAUAUUGGACAAUGGGCGCAAGCCUGAUCCAGCCAUGCCGCGUGGUGAAGAAGGCCUUCGGUUGUAAAGUCCUUUGUACCGGAAAGAAAGACAACGGAUUAACUACCUCGUGUGAGUGACGGUACGGAAGAAUAAGCACCGGCUAACUUCGUGCCAGCA
rnacentral:rRNA from 1 species